rnacentral:rRNA from 1 species
AUUGAACGCUGCGGCAUGCCUUACACAUGCAAGUCGAACGGCAGCACGGAGCUUGCUCUGGUGGCGAGUGGCGAACGGGUGAGUAAUAUAUCGGAACGUACCCUAGAGUGGGGGAUAACGUAGCGAAAGUUACGCUAAUACCGCAUACGAUCUAAGGAUGAAAGUGGGGGAUCGCAAGACCUCAUGCUCGUGGAGCGGCCGAUAUCUGAUUAGCUAGUUGGUAGGGUAAAAGCCUACCAAGGCAUCGAUCAGUAGCUGGUCUGAGAGGACGACCAGCCACACUGGAACUGAGACACGGUCCAGACUCCUACGGGAGGCAGCAGUGGGGAAUUUUGGACAAUGGGCGAAAGCCUGAUCCAGCAAUGCCGCGUGAGUGAAGAAGGCCUUCGGGUUGUAAAGCUCUUUUGUCAGGGAAGAAACGGUGAGAGCUAAUAUCUCCUUGCUAAUGACGGUACCUGAAGAAUAAGCACCGGCUAA